GAUCCUUCCCUUCCCAUCACCUCUCUUUCUACAGCCCUUUUCUCUCACCGGAAAAUGGGAGCCAACGCCUCUUCUAUCUCGCUACAGCGGACCGAGCUCGACGACAUACCGGAAUCCUGCAUUGCUCUUGUUCUCUCCUACUUGGACCCGCCGGAGAUCGCCAAGCUCGCCGGAGUCAACCGCGCUUUCCGCGCAGCGUCGUCGGCCGACUUCAUCUGGAUUCCUAAAUUGCCCUCCACUUCACCCUAUCUCAUCUCCAAAUUGUGCGAUCGAGCAAUUGGAGGCAGCUGCAGGAAAGACAUUUACGCCUCGCUGUGCCGCCACACCACGCUUGAUGGCGGGACUAAGGAAGUUUGGAUUGAUAAGAGAACCGGAGGGGUUUGCUUGGCUAUUUCUUCCAAGGCGAUGGCGAUUACUGGAAUCGAUGAUCGGAGGUAUUGGAAUCACAUUCCAACUCAUGAAUCUAGAUUUGAGACAGUUGCAUGCCUUGAGCAAAUCUGGUGGCUUGAAGUGGACGGAGAAGUCGAGUUCCGAUAUCCGCGGGGAACUUACAGUCUCUUCUUCAGGCUGAAGCUGGGAAGAGUUGGUAAGCAGAGGCUAAGCCGCGUGCACGGAUGGGAUACGAAACCUGCGCAGUUUCAGUUGAAGACGCACGACGGCCAGCAUGCAGCCUCCCGCUGCACGCUGGGGAGCUUGGGAAACUGGGUGCACUACCACGUCGGAGAUUUCGUCGUUGAGGAUCCUAAUGCGUUCACGACGAUCAACUUCUCCUUGACGCAGAUCGACUGCACACACACCAAAGGUGGUCUGUGUGUGGAUUCUGUGUUGAUAUGCCCAACUAGUGUAGGAAAAGAGUUGCUGUAUAGAGGAUGAAGCUUCUAAGUUAGCAAUCAUAACAAGAAGCAGAGUCUUGCUUGUAAACGCACCUCUGUGUAUAAUUUUGAGAUGAAGGGCCUGCGAAACAAGAAAGCAUGUCACUGUUACAAAACCCGUGAUGGCGAAGAGGACGGAGAAGCUUUGCAACGACACUCGGGCAAGGGAGCUGCUUCCGUCGGGACCCACACACUCCGGCUCGGGCAAGUGCCGUUUCUCGAUCUCGCGAAUCGUGCCGUUUUCCGUCAGUUGAACUAUGGCUUUAGAGAUAUCAGCCACCGCAGGGAAAGCUUUGGGGAAAGCCUGCCAUUCACAAACAAUGAUGCUACGGCGGUGCAUACAGAUAAAAGUGACUAUUCUCAUGAAGAAAAGUGACACUUUUUUUUGCACCCUCUUAACUAAAAGGUGACAUUAUCCUAAAGAAAAAUGGUGCAUAUAGAUAAAAGUGACAAUUAUCAUGAAGAAAAAUGAUAUUUUUUUGUGUACCCUCUAACUAAAAA